rnacentral:lncRNA from 1 species
AGGUUAAAUAUAGUGUAGUAUCUUUUGUGACCAUUUGUAUUAAAUUUCCACAAGAUAUCAGCGCAACUUUUAAUUCCUCUUUUCUUGGGAGACGUAUUUUUAAGCGUUUACCAUGUUGGAAUUCGUGAAAAACGCGAAAUAGGACGUUAUAAUUUGACGUUUUUUCAUUGCUAGAAACAACGUCAUAGAGCUUUUAUGUCACUACCAAGUUGCGUUAGUUGAUGCGCAUAAACAAUAGGCUGUUUGGUCUUUA